rnacentral:rRNA from 1 species
CCUACGGGGGGCAGCAGUGAGGAAUAUUGGUCAAUGGGCUUACGCCUGAACCAGCCAAGUCGCGUGAGGGAAGACUGCCCUAUGGGUUGUAAACCUCUUUUGUCAGGGAGCAACGCCGGCUACGUGUAGCCGGACUGAGAGUACCUGAAGAAAAAGCAUCGGCUAACUCCGUGCCAGCAGCCGCGGUAAUACGGAGGAUGCGAGCGUUAUCCGGAUUUAUUGGGUUUAAAGGGUGCGUAGGCGGUCCGUUAAGUCAGCGGUAAAAUUGCGGGGCUCAACCCCGUCGAGCCGUUGAAACUGGCAGA